GAAGUUUGCGGAUCCCUCUUCUAGAAGGGACAGUGUUUGAAAUGCACAUCUCCUUGGCCUUGAGAUCUCAAUGCCUGCAGGUUACCUCUGUCCAAAACAAUGCUAUUGUUGGUGUCUACCAAAGGCCACCAGAUGAAAGUGAUUGGGGAUGGAGCCAUGUAGUGAAAGGGAGGACCUGGAUGUGAGUUAUUCUUUCUUACCUUUGUCUCCUCUUCUUUAAUCUCCAGUUGGCACUUGAGGAUGUUGAUGCGAAUGGCUGCUCUUUGAUGCUAGCACCAUGGAAUUUAGAUAUAAACAUUUGAUAAAAGCUAAAUUCCCAGUGUCCUCACAACCCUUUGAUGCCUCACCAGUAAGUGGAUGAGAUCCUUUGGUUCCAGGCAGGGAUGGUAAGUAGGGCGACUACUCCACUUUGCCUGAAGAAUUCUAUUAGAUUAGAUUUUAGGGCCAUCUCUUUUGGAAGUCCAUUGGUUAUUGUGGCUCAUUUUAAAUUCAAUAACCCAUCUCCCAGGCUGCCAAAAAGGAGGUAGGGUCUCUUGGGAUUGUUAACAGUGACCACGCAGAACCCCGGUGUGUGUGUCUUCAGGGAGAGCACAAACAUUAUCUGUGAGAAUGAUAACAGCUCUUCUUUGGUGAGGAAGAACAAUUAGGGCUGCGUCUGCACUGGGCUCUCCACAUGUAUUUCCGAGCAGUCCUUACAAAAGUGCUAUGAGGUAGGUGUUUAUAUGACUUCUGUCCUUGUCUUCCUGUAGUCUAUUACUAACACAGCAGCCAGAGUGAUCCUAUUCAAAUAUGGGUCAGCUCAUGUCACUCCUCUGCUCAGAACCUUCCAGCAGCUUCCUGUCUCUCACAAUCAAAGCCAAAGCCCUUGCUAUAACUUUCAAGUCCUGUGAUUUUUUGCCUCCCCUUUACCUCUCUGACUUCAUCCUCACUCCCUCCAUGUAUGUUGCUCCAUAAACGACCCUGGCCCUGUGCUUUUUUCUUGAAAAUCCUGCCUCAGGGUUUUCAUACUUUUUGUCCCUCCUGCUUGGAAUUGUCACUUCCAAGAUGGUCAUGUGGGUAGCAGCCCACUUUCUUCAGGUUUUUGCUUGAAAGUCACCUUCUCACCGAGGACUUCCCUAGCAAUCCUGACUAAAAUUUCACCAAACGUCUCUAUCAUCCAACAUUUCCUAGCUUCCCUUCCAACUUUAACUUUUUAUUUUUUUGGCAUCUCUUUUGCUUACUUGCUUUGUUGAUUGAAAUGUAAGCCCCACAAAGGCAAGGAUUUUUCUCUGUUUUCUAACCAGGCACCCUACAAUCUCAUACCCAGCAACUAGGCAACUAGAACAGUACCUGGACCACAGGAAAUACACAUUUUGUUAGAUAUUCUGGUUCAGUGAGACUAUGGCGCAUCUGAAUUCUGUAUAGUUCCAGGUUUGGCCUUGAGGACUCUUAAUUUCUGAGGAGAAGGACCAGGCAGCUGCUGGAAUUCUAGUUGAUAGAUGGUGGGGAGAAGCAGAUGGAGAGGGCGAGAUCUUAAGCAGUCUCCAAGAUCAGUGCCGGGCUCAACAUGGGGCUUGAUCUCAUGACCCCUGAGAUCAUGACCUGAGCCGAAAUCAACAAUCAGGUACUGAACUAACUGAGCCAUCCAGGUGCCCUGAAAUAUACUGUUAAUAUUUAUUAAGAGUUCUUGUUCUUUGGGCAUUUAGAAGUGUUUAAUUUCCCAAUAUAUAUGGAUAUUUGUUUUUCACAUGUUUAUUGGUUACUGAUUUCUAAUUUGAUUGCAUUUUGAGUCAGUAAACAUGAUCCAUAUUAUACCAUUUCUUUGAAAAUUGUUAAGACUUGCUUUCUGGACAAGCACAUGGUCAACAUUUGUAGAUGUUUCGUUUGUGCUUAAGAAGAAUGUAUGUUCUGUGAUUCUUGGGUUUGGAGUUCUCUCUCUGUCCAAUUAGAUCACGCUUGUUACUUCUUCUAUUCAAAUAUUUUAUAUCUUUUUUUGACUUCUUUUCAUCUGCUUGACUUAUUAUUGAGAGAUGAGUGUUGAAAUCUUCUAUUACAACAGUAGAUUUCUCAAUUUCAGCCACUAGUUCUAUCAUAUUUAUAUUGUAAGGCAAUUAUUUUAGGUACAUCUUUCUAUUGUUUAAUAAUACGUUUUGCAUUAAAAAUAUUUUAAAAAUAUAAGUAAAAAUGUAAAAACUACAAAAACACACAGAAUAAACAUUGCUUUCAUGUAAUUAUACCACUCCAAAGUAACUGCUGCUUAUUUAAUAUG